CUUUUUUAUACUUUAAGUUCUGGGAUACAUGUGCAGUACUUGCAUGUUUGUUACAUAGGUAUAUAUGUGCCAUGGUGGUUUGCUGCACCCAUCAACCUGUCAUCUAGGUUUUAAGUCCUGCAUGCAUUAGGUAUUUGUCCUCAUGCUCUCCCUCCCCUUGUCUCCCAACCCCCGACAGGCCCCAGUAUGUGAUGUUCCCCUCCCUGUGUCCAUGUGUUCUCAUUGUUCAACUCCCACUUAUGAGUGAGAACAUGCGGUGUUUGUUUUUCUGUUCUUGUGUUAGUUUGCUGAGAAUGAUGGUUUCCAGCGUCAUCCAUGUCCCUGCAAAGGACAUGAACUCAUUCUUUUUUAUAACUUCAUAGUAUUCCAUUAUAUAUAUAUAUAUAUAUAUAUAUAUAUAUGCCACUUUUUCUUUACCCAGUCUAUCAUUGAUGGACAUUUGGAUUGGUUCCAAGUCUUUGCUAUUGUAAAUAGUGCUGCAAUAAACUUAAGUGUGCAUGUGUAUUUAUAGUAGAAUGAUUUAUAAUACUUUGGGUAUAUACCCAUUAAUGGAAUUGCUGGGUCAAAUGGUAUUUCUGGUUCUAGAUCCUUGAGGAAUUGCCACACUAUCUUCCACAAUAGUUGAACUAAUUUACACUCCCACCAAUGGUGUAAAAGUGUUCCUAUAUCUCCACAUCCUCUCCAGCAUCGGUUGUUUCCUGACAUUUUCAUGAUUGCCAUUCUAACUGGCAUGAGAUGGUAUCUCAUUGUGGUUUUGAUUUGCAUUUCUGUAAUGACCAGUGAUGAUGAGCUUUUCUUUCAUGUUUUUUGGCCACAUAAAUGUCUUCUUUUGAGAAGUGUCUGUUCAUAUCCUUUGCCCACUUUUUGAUGGGGUUUGUUUUUUUCUUGUAAUUUGUUUAAGUUCCUUGUAGAUUCUGGAUAUUAGACCUUUGUCAGAUGGAUAGAUUGCAAAAAUUUUCUCCCAUUCUGUAGGUUGCCUGUUCACUCUGAUGUUAGUUUCUUUUGCUAUCCAGAAGCUCUUUAGGUUAAUUAGAUCCCAUUUGUCAAUUUUGGCUUUCAUUGCCAUUGGUUUUGGUGUUUUAGUCAUGAAGUCUUUGCCCAUGCUUAUGUCCUGAAUGGUGUUGCCUAGGUUUUCUUCUAGGCUUUUUAUGGUUUUAGGUUUUACGCUUACAUCUUUAAUCCAUCUUGAGUUAAUUUUUGUAUAAGGUGUAAGGAAGGGGAUCCAGUUUCAGUUUUUUGCAUAUGGCUAGCCAGUUUUCCCAUCACCGUUUAUUAAAUAGGGAAUCCUUUCCGUAUUGCUUGUUUUUGUCAGGUUUGUCAAAGAUCAGAUGGUUGUAGGUGUGUGUCAUUAUUUCUGAGGCCUCUGUUCUGUUCCAUUGGUCUAUGUAUCUGUUUUGGUACCAGUACCAUGCUGUUUUGUUUACUGUAGCCUUGUAGUAUAGUUUGCAGUCAGGUAGUGUGAUGCCUCCAGCUUUGUUAUUUUUUGCUUAGGAUUGUCUUGGCUAUACGGGCUCUUUUUUUGUUUCCAUAUGAAAUUUAAAUUAGUUUUUUCCAAUUCUGUGAAGAAAGUCAAUGGUAGCUUGAUGGGAAUAGCAUUGAAUCUGUAAAUUACUUUGGGCAGUAUGGCCAUUUUCAUGAUAUUAAUUUUUCCUAUCCGUGAGCAUGGAAUGCUUUUCCAUUUGUUUGUGUCCUCUCUUAUUUCCUUGAGCAGUGGUUUGUAGUUCUCCUUGAAGAGGUCCUUCACAUCCCUUCUAAAUUGUUUUCCUAGAUAUUUCAUUUUCUUUGUAGCAGUUGUUAAUGGGAGUUCACUCAUGAUUUGGCUGUUUGUCUAUUAUUGCUAUAUAGGAAUGCUUGUGAUUUUUGCACAUUGAUUUUGUAUCCUGAGACUUUGUUGAAGUUGCUUAUCAGCUCAAGGAGUUUUUUGGCUGAGAUGAUGGGGUUUUCUAAAUAUACAAUCAUGUCAUCUGCAAACUGAGACAAUUUGACUUCCUCUCUUCCUAUUUGAAUACACUUUAUUUAUUUAUCUUGCCUGAUUGCCCUGGCCAGAACUUCCAAUACUAUGUUGAAUACGAGUGGUGAGAGAGGGCAUCCUUGUCUCAUGCCAAUUUCCAAAGGGAAUGCUUCCAGCUUUUGCCUGUUAAGUAUGAUACUGGCUAUGGGUUUGCCAUAAAUAGCUCUUAUUAUUUUGAGAUAUGUUCCAUAAAUACCUAGUUAAUUGAGUGUUUUUAGCAUGAAGUGGUGUUGAAUUUUAUCGAAGGCCCUUUCUGCAUUUAUUGAGAUAGUCACGGUUUUUGUCAUUGGUUCUGUUUAUGUGAUGGAUUAUGUUUAUUGAUUUUCAUAUGUUGAACCAGCCUUGCAUCCCAGGGAUGAAGCUGACUUGAUCAUGGUGGAUAAGCUUUUUGAUGUGCUGCUGGAUUCAGUUUGCCAUAUUUUAUUGAGGAUUCUCACAUUGAUGUUCAUCAGGGAUAUUGGCCUGAAAUUUUCUUUUUUUGUUGUGUCUCUGCCAGGUUUUGGUAUCAGGAUGAUGCUGGUCUCAUAAAAUGAGUUAGGGAGGAGUCCUUGUUUUUCUAUUGUUUGGAAUAGUUUCAGAAGGAAUGGGAUGAGCUCCUUUUUGUCCCUCUGGUAGAAUUUAGCUGUGAAUCCGUCUGGUCCUGGGCUUUUUUUGGUUGGUAGGCUAUAAAUUACUGCCUCAAUUUCAGAACUUGUUAUUGGUCUAUUCAGGGAUUCGACUUCUUCCUCAUUUAGUCUUGGGAGAGUGUAUGUGUCCAGGAUUUUAUGCAUUUCUUCUAGAUUUUCUAGUUUAUUUGCAUAGAGGUGAUGGUAGUUUGUAUUUAUGUGGGAUCAGUGGUGAUAUUCCUUUAUCAUUUUUUACUGUGUCUAUUUGAUUCUUCUCCCUUUUCUUCUUUGCUAGCCUGGCUAUCUGUGUGUCUACUUUGCUAAUCUUUUCAAAAAACCAGCUCCUGGAUUCAUGGAAUUUUUGAAGGGUUUUUCAUGUCUCUAUCUCCUUCAGUUCUGCUUUGAUCUUAGUUAUUUCUUGUCUUCUGCUAGCUUUUUAAUUUGUUUGCCUUUGCUUUUGUAGUUCUUUUAAUUGUGAUGUUAGGGUGUCAAUUUUAGAUCUUUUCUGCUUUCCGAUGUGGGCAUUUAGUGCUAUAAAUUUUCCUCUAAAGACUGCUUUAGCUGUGUUAGAGAUUCUGGUACAUUAUGUCUUUGUUCGCAUUGGUUUCAAAGAAUUUAUUUCUGCCUUAAUUUUCUUAUUUACCCAGUAGUUAUUAAGGAGCAGGUUGUUCAGUUUCCACGUAGUUGUGCUGUUUUGAGUGAGUUUCUUAAUCCUGAGUUCUAAUUUGAUUGCGCUGGUUUUUCCUUUCCAGAUUUAGUGCUUCCUUCAGGAGCUCUUGUAAGGCAGGCCUGGUGGUGACAAAAUCUCUCAGCAUUUGCUUGUCUGUAAAGGAUUUUAUUUCUCCUUUGCUUAUGAAGCUUAGUUUGGCUGGAUAUGAAAUUCUGGCUUGAGAAUUCUUUAAGAAUGUUGAAUAUUGGCCUCCACUUUCUUCUGGCUUGUAGGGUUUCUGCAGACAGAUCCACUGUUAGUCUGAUGGGCUUCCCUUUGUAGGUAACCCGACCUUUCUCUCUGGCUACCCUUAACAUUUUCUCCUUCGUUUCAACCUUGGAGAAUCUGACAAUUAUGUGUCUUGGGGUUGCUCUUCUCGAGGAGUAUCUUAGUGGUGUUCUUUGUAUUUCCUGAAUUUGAAUGUUGGCCUGUCUUGCUAGGUUGGGGAAGUUUUCCUGGAUAAUAUCUUGAAGUGUGUUUUUUUAACUUGGUUCCAUUAUCCCUGUCACUUUCAGGUACACCAAUCAAUCGUAGGUUUGGUCUUUUCUCAUAGUCCCCUAUUUCUUGGAGUCUUUGUUCAUUCCUUUUCAUUCUUUUUUCUCUAGUCUUGUCUUCACACUUUAUUUAGUUGAUCUUCAAUUUCUGAUAUCCUUUCUUGCGCUUGAUUGAUUCAGCUAUUGAUACUUGUGUAUGUUUCAUGAAGUUCUGCUGUGGUUUUCAGCUCCAUCAGGUCAUUUAUGUUCUCUCUAAACUGGUUAUUCUAGUUAGAAGUUCCUGUAACCUUUUAUCAAGGUUCUCAGCUUCCUUGCCUGGGUUAGAACAUGCUCCUUUAGCUCAGAGGAGUUUGUUAUUGCCUACCUUCUGAAGCCUACUUCUGUCAAUUCGUCAAACUCAUUCUCUGUCCCGUUUUGUGCCCUUGCUGGAGAGGAGUUGUGAUCAUUUGGAAAAGAGACAUUCUGAUUUUUGGAAUUUUCAGCAUUUUGCCCUGGUUUUUCCUCAUCUUCUCGGAUUUAUCUACCUUUAGUCUUUGAUGUUGAUGACCUUUGGAUGCGGUUUUUGUGUGGGUGUCCUUUUUGUUGAUGUUGAUGUCCUUGCUUUCUGUUUGUUGGUUUUCCUUUUAACAGUUGGUCCCCUCUUCUGCAGGUCUGCUGGAGUUUGCUGGAGGUCCACUCCAGACCCUGUUUGCCUGGGUAUCAACAGCAGAGGCCUCAGAACAUCAAAGAUUGCUGCCUGCUUCUUCCUCUAGAUGCCCUGCCCAGUGAGGAGGAAUCUAAAGAGGAAGUCUGGCCACAGUCGCUUUUCUGUGCUGGGGUGAAUUCCACACAGUCUGAACUUCCCGGUUGCUUCCUUAACACUGUGUGGGGAAAACCGCCUACUCAAGCCUCAGUAAUGGCAGACUUCCCAACCCCCACCAAGCUCAAGCAUCUCAGGUCAGUUUCAGACUGCUGAGCUGGCAGCCACAAUUUCAAGCCAGUGGUUCUUAGCUUGCUGGAACCCAGCAAGCUAAGAGUGGGAGUGGGACCUGCUGAGUGAGACCACUUGGCUCCUUGGCUUCAGCCCCCUUUCCGGGGGUGUGAACGAUUCUGUCUCGCUGGGGUUUCAGGCGCUCCUGGGGUACGAAAAAUAAACCCCUGCAGCUAGCUCAGUGUCUGCCCAAACAGGCACCCAGUUUUGUGCUUGAAACCCAGGGCCCUGGUGGUAUAGACAUAUGAGGGAAUCUCCUGGUCUGCAGUUUGUAAAAACUGUGGGAAAACUGUAGUAUCUGGGUUGGAUAGCACAGUCCCUUGACUAGGUGAGGGAGGUCCCUGGACCCUUGCACUUCCCGGGUGAGGUGACGCCCCACCCUGUUUCUGCUUGCCCUCCAUGGGCUACACCCACUGUCUAACCAGUCCCAGUGAGAUGAACCGGGUACCUCAGUUGGAAAUGCAGAAAUCACCCGCCUUCUGUGUUGUUCUCGCAGGGAGCUGCAGAUGGGAGCUGUUGCUAUUCAGUCAUCUUGCCCAGGAACAACUAGAGUUAAAUUUAAAUACAGAAGCUGGAAAAUCUGAUAUAAAAAUCAGUUGCUGUAUUUAAGAUUUUAGGAAGAUUGACAGCUUUUCCUUUACUUUUUGUUUUCCUUUCCACCUUUCUUAAGGCUUGGUUUCAGCCCUAUUAUACAUAUUUACUUUUAUCAGAAAGGAUCAGAAAUGUUUUUUGAGUGUAAUGAACAGGCAUAAAUACUUUUUCAAAACAUUUUUCUUAAAACAUUUUUCUAAAAAUAUUUUUCUUUUUCAAAGUUUUUUUUUUUUUUUUGAGACAGAGCCUCGCUCUGUCGCCCAGGCUGGAGUGCAGUGGUGCAAUCUUGGCUCACUGCAAGCUCUGCCUCCUGGGUUCACACCAUUCUCCUGCCUCAGCCUCCCGAGUAGCUGGGACUACAGGUGCCUGCCACCACACCUGGCUAAUUUUUUUUUGUAUUUUUAGUAGAUGCGGGGUUUCACCGUGUUAGCCAGGAUGGUCUUGAUCUCCUGACCUCAUGGCAGUAGAGCUGAGUAAUUUAUAUCCUUAAUAUCAGACACUGAAUUUUGACAGUUCAAGAAGACUUUUAUACUAUAUUUCAGCAUUAAUAUGUAUGUAUUUUUCCCAGGAAAUCAAGAUUAAUGUGAUCUGGACCAAUUAAAUAAAUUUAAAGUUAUUUAAUUCGUUUAUGGAAAAAUGAUACAUUAUUUGUAGCAAAGCCAAGCCUAAAUUUUCUCUGAAGCAAAUCCUAACCCUCCAUUUACAUUUUUCUCUUUUUUCCUCUUUCUUCCCACAAACCAAGUCCUUGUUAAAACUAACGUUGCUGAAAAUUUAGUGAAGAAUAAAAAGAUAAUUGUCUCUAAGCCCAUGUUUCAGUAUUUUAAAAAAUAUGGGUAUUUUUUUACAGCAUUCCAAUUUGGCUGCCUCAAGCAGUAACAGCACAUGAGAUUUAUUAAUUGAUCAUCAGUACAUAACUGUCUUCUAAAUUUGUAUGAAAUAGUGUCUCAGUAAGACCUACCUCCAUCUGAGGCAAUGAAUUUCAGCUUGGAACAGUAGAACUGCUCCAAUCAGUGAUGGUUAAAUUAUAGCUAUAGGAGAAUAUGACAAAGGAAAACUUUUGGGCCAACAUGUAGAAAGAUCAGAAAUAGGAUUUAGCAGUCACUCAUAGAAUGUUCUUAAAAAGAAGUUUCCUCAAGCCAGCUGUAUUCAGUAUAGUACGUAUAUUGAUGGAAGCUAAUUCUCUAUUGUGCUUUUGUGUUUCAAAAUAAGUUGACCUUACUGUAUACUAGAAGACCACUAGCUUCAAAAAUCGCUCUUCAGUGAUGGAAAUAUAAUAUAUAAGCAUUCUUAAGGAAAAUCUCCCAUUCCUCUGGUCUUUGUGCUCAAAUGUUAGCUACAAUAGAUACGCUACUUCCGCUAUCCUUUCUAAACUGGAAAAGCUGAAGUCUUCUCAGGAGAAAUGUCUAGUCAAGCCCUUAGCCCAUUUUUUUGUUGUUGUUGUUGGCUUAUAUUAGUUUUUUUGCUUUGAGCUCUAUUAAUUCCUUGUACAUUCUGGGGAUUAGCACUUAUCAGAUAUGUUGUUUUCAUGAAUAUUUUCUCCCAUUGUGUAGGUUGCGUUUUCACUCUGUCAGUGUUUCUUUUGCUGUGCAGAAGAUUUUUAGUUUGAUAUAGUCCUACUUAUUUAUUUUGCUUUUGGGUUCACAUCCAUAAAAUCACCACCAAGACCAAAGUCAAGGAGUCCUGAUCCCAUGUUUUCUUCUAGGAGUUUUAUAGUUUCAGGUCUUAGGUUUAAGUCUUUAAUCCAUUUUGAGUUGAUUUUGUAUACAGGGUAAGAUAAGGGCUCAAUUUUAUUCUUGUACAUGUGAAUAUUCAGUUUUCCUCACCACAUUUGUUGAAAAAGACUAUCAUUGUUCCAACAUGUAUUCUUUGCAUCCUUGCCAAAGGUCAGUGAUCAUAUAUGUGUAGGUUUACUUUGGAGUUCUCUAUUUUUCCAUUGGUCUAUAUGGCUGUCCUUAUGCCAGUACCAUGUACCAUACUGUUUUUUGAUUACUGUAGCUUCAUAAAAUAUUUUGAAAUCAGGAAAUGCAGUGCCUCUAGCUUUGUUCUUUGUCAGGAUUGAUUUGGUUCAUAAUCUUUUGUUCUAUAUGAAGUAUAUAACCUUUUUUCUAUUUCUGUAAAACAUGUCUUUGAAAUUUUGAAGGGAUUGCAUUGAAUCUGAAAAUUGCUUUGAGUAGUAUAGACAUUUGAACAAUAGUAAGUUUUCCAAUUCAGCAACACAGGAUGUAUUUACAUUUGUUGUCUUUUGUUUAAUUUCUUUCAGCAAUGUUUUGUAGUUUUUAGUAUAUAAAUCUUUCACCUCUUUUUUCCCUAGGUUUAUUCUUAUUUCAAAGUAUUUUAUUCUUUUCAGUACUUUUGUAAAUGAGAUUGCUUUCAUAAUUUCCUUUUCAGGUAGUUUGUUGUUAGUGUAUAGAAAGGCAACUUAUUUUUGUAUGUUGGUUUUGUAUCCUGCAACUUAACUGAAUUCAUUUGUUAUUUAUAGUAUAUAUUUUUAAGUAUUUGUGGUUUUCUUUUUUAUUUUAGAGAUAGGAUCUUGUUCUCUCACCUGAGUUGGAGUGCAGUGGUGCGAUCAUAGCUCACUGAAACCUUGAACUCUUGAGCUCAAGUGAUCCUCCUGCCUCAGCGUUUCAAGCACCUGGGACCACAGGUAUGUGCCACCAUACCUGGCUAAUUUAAAAAUUUUUCUUUUGUAGAGGCAAGGUCUCACUAUGUUGACAAGGCUGAUUUUGAACUCUUAAACUCAAGUGAUCCUCCCGUCUUGGCCUCCCAAGUGCUGAGAUUACAGAUGUGAACCACUGUGCCCAGCCUGGGGUUUUCUAUAUAAGAUCAUGUUGUUAGCAAACAGGGAUAUUUUUACUUCUUUCCAAUUCAGAUGCCUUUUAUAUUUUGUUUUGUUUUUGAAUUGCACUGUCUAGGACUUUCAGUAUUAUGUUAAAUAGAAGUGGUGAGAGUGGGCAUUCUUGUUUUGUUCCUGAUUUUAGAGGAAAAGCUUUUAUUUUUUUCACAGUUGUGUAUGAUGUUAGCUGUGGGCUUUUCAUACACAGCCUUUAUUGUGUUUAGGUAUUUUUCUUUUAUUUCUAGUUUGUUGAGAGUGUGUCUCUGAAACCGUGUUGAACUUAGUUAAAUGCUUUUUCUGCGUCUUUUGAGAUGAUCAUAUGGUAAAAAUAUUUUAUUCUGGUAAUGUGGUAAAUCAUACUAAUUGAUUUUCAUGUGUUGAGACCCUGUGUUUCUUCUAGUAGGUUUAAAGUUGAAAUCUUAUAUGUUUUUAGUUGAUUUUUAUAUAUGGUAUGAGUUAAGGUUCCAAUUUCAUUCUUCUGCUUGUGAUUAUGCAGUUUUCCCAACACUAUUUGUUGAAGAGACCGUCCUUUUCCAUUAUGUGUUCUUGGUCCUUUUGUGAAAAAUCAACUGACUCUUAAUUUAUUCCUAAGUUCUUUUUUUGAUGCUCUUAUAAAUGGGAUUGUUAUCUUGAUUUCCUUUUUAAGAUAGUUCACUGUUAGUGUAUAGAAAUGCUACUGAUGUUUGUAUGUUGAAUUUGUAAUGUGCAAACUUUACUGAACUUAUCAGUUCUAGCAGUUUAUUGGUGAAAUCUAUAGUGCUUUCUUAAUAUUAAAUCAUGUCAUCAAUGGAGAUGAUAUCACUCCUUUCGUAUAUGGAUGCCUUUUAUUUCUUUUUCUUGCCUAAUUGCUCUGGCUAGGACUUCCAGUACUUUGUUGAAUAGAAAUGGUGAGAAUAGGCUUCUUUGUUUUGUUUCUGAUCUUGGAGGAAAAGCUUUCAACUUUUCACCAUUGAGUAUGAUGUUAGCUGUGGGCUUGUCAUACAUGGCCUUUAUUGUGUUGAGGUAUAUUCCUUCCAUACCUUUUGUUUUUUGUGAGAGUUUUCAAUAUUAAUGGAUGUUGAACUUUGUCAAAUGCUUUUUUUUUGCAUCUAUUGAAAUGAUCAUGUGGUUUUUGUGCUUCAUUCUGUUGAUUUGAUGUAUCACAUUUAUUUGCAUAUGUUGAACCAUCCUUGCAUCCCUGAUAGAAUUUCCAGUUGAUCAUACUGAAUGAUCUUUUUGAUGUACUGUUGAGGAUUUUUGUGUCUGUUCAUCAGGGAUAUUAGUGUAUAGUUUUCUUUGCUGUGUCUUUGAUUUGGUAUCAGGUAAUGCUGGUCUCAUGGAAUGAGUUAGGGAGAUUUCCUCAUCUUCAAUUUUUUGAAAUAGUUUGAAGAGGAUUGGUAUUAAUUUUUCUUUAAUUCAGUAGUGAAUCCACCUGGUCCUGGGCUUUUCUUUGUUGAGAGACCUUUUAUUACUGAUUCAAUCUUGCUACUCAUUAUUGUCUGUUCAGGUUUUUUAUUUCUUCCUAAUUAAUGCUUGGUAGGUUGUAUGCUUCCAGAAAUUAUCCAUUUUCUUUAGAUUUUUCAAUUUGUUAGCAUAUAGUUAUUCUUAAUAGUCUAGGAUGAUGUUCCAUAUUUCUGUAGUAUCAGUUGUAAUGACUCCUUUUUCAUUUCUGAUUUUGUUUAUGUGGAUCUACUGUGUUCUUUUUUUGGUUAGUCUAACUAGUGAUUUAUCAAUUUUACUUAACUUUUCCAAAAACAAACUUUUCAUUUCAUUGAUGCUUUGUAUUGCUUUUUUAGUCUUCAUUUUGUUUAGUUCAGAUCUGAUAUUUUUUGUUUCUCUUUUGCUGCUGACUUUGGGAUUGGCUCGUUUCUGCUUUUCUGGUUCCUUGCAGUGCAUUGUUAUUUAUUUAAAAUCUUUCUAUUUUUUUGGUGUAGGCAUUUAUUACUAUAAACUUCCCUCUUGGCACUGUUUUUCUGUAAAAUACAAGUUUUGAUAUGCUAUAUUCUCUUUUUCAAAAAAUUUCUGUUUCAAGAAAUUUUAAAAUAUUUAUCUUAAUUUCAUCAUUGACCCCAUCAUUUCUCAGGACCAUGUUGUUUAAUUUCCAUGAAUUUGGAUAGCUUUCAAAGUCCCUCUUGGUAUUGAUUCCAAGUUUUAUUCCACUGUAGUCUGAGAAGAUACCUAAUAUGAUUUUGACUUUCUAAAAUUUGUUGAGGCUUGUUUUGUGGCCUAACAUAUGGUCUGUUCUGGAGAAUGUUUCAUGUUCUGAUUAGAAGAAUAUUUAUUUUGCAGUUGUUGGAAAAAAAUGUUCUGUAAAUGUCUAUUAGGUUCAUUUUGUCUAAAGUCCACUUUAAAUCCAAUGUUAAUUUGCUUAGUUUCUAUCUAAAUUGUCUGUCUAAUGCUGAUAGUCCCCACUAUUAUUAUAUUGGAGUUUAUCACUUUAGAUCUCAUAAUGUUUUCUUUAUGAAUCUGGGUGGUGUGUGUGUUUGGUGGUAGUGGCAGGUUGAGUGGACCUGACCUCAGAUCCCAUGAGGGGUGCUCAGGUGUGCCACUGGUAGUGGACUUGGCUGGGCAUUCCCCAGGGCUUUGGACAGUGUGCUCAGGUACUGGAGUCGGGGGUUGGAUCCAGGCUGGGCUGUGCUCUUAGAUCGUCAAGUAGUGCAUAUAGAUGCUAGCGGUGGUAUGCAGUGGUGGAAUGGACCCUAGACCCCCCAGCAGAAUGCUCAAUUGGAAGUCACAGUGGCUGUGCUGUGCCCCUGCUACUGGGGAGGACUUAGGCAGGUAGCAGUCUUAGGCAGGCAGCUAGGAGGCAUGGGCUUUGCUGGUGCAGCUGUGGCAGUUGCAGACAGUGGAAUUUGUCCUUGAGGGUGUGUGAGAAUGCUUGACAAACCCUCUGCAGUGGGGUAGGUUUGCUGCUGGUGACUCUCUCCUCACCCCAGCUGUAGGGUAGUAUGCAGUCCAGUGUGGAGUAGGCUCUUAAAGUGGUGCUGUGCUGCCACUGCUUAGGAUUCAGGGUUUUGUGGGAUCCAGUGUGUGCUCUCUGGAGCUGUGCCUUUGUGCAGUUUCUAGGGAGCUUCUUUUGUUAGCCUCAGGGCUAGUGAAUGUUGAGGGGCUCUCCUGAGGCUAGGAUUAUAGGAAUCCUUUUGGGAAUGUGGGUUGCUGGGGCUCCCUCACUUAUCUUUUUCCAAGCUUGGGGAGUCUCUCCUGGCUCAUAGCCAAUCUCAGUCUCCACCAAGGAGGCUGUCGCGCUUCCCUCUUUUUCCUUGCUUUAGGUGUUUCCUGUCACUUCUCUGUUGAAUUCCAGUGUUCUUUCCUGGAUGAUCUAUUUGAUGUGUGACUACUGACUAGUUUUGUUCUUCUUAGCGGAGGAGUCGAGUAGAUGCCUCUGAUCAGACAUCUUGAAGCCUCUCCCAUUAGGUUGUUUGAGAUAUUUCUCCUAUUUUGGCGUAGGUUUUUAUUGCUAUAAACUUUCAGGACUGCUUUUGCUGCAUUUUGUAAGCUUUGGUAUGUUGUAUUUCCAUUUUUGUUUGUCUCAAGAUAUUUUUAAAUUUCCUUUUUAAUUUCUUCUUUGACUCAUUGGUAGUUAAGGAGCAUGCUGUUUAAUUUUCACAUACUUGUGAAUUUUCCAAGAUUCCUCCUGUUAUUAUUAUCUAGUUUCAUGCCAUUGUGGCUAGAAAAGAUAUUUGAUAUGAUUUCAGUCUUUAUACAUUUGUUAAGACUUGUUCUGUGACCUAACUAAUAAUCUAUCCUGGAGAAUGUUCUAUGUGGUGAUGAGAAGAAUAUUCUGCAAUUGUUGGAUAAAACGUUUUGUAAAUGUCUGUUAGGUCCAUUUGGUAUAAAUUGUAAUUCAAGUCCAAUAUUUUCUUGUCUGCCUCUUUCUGCAGAUAUUGUAAUAUUUGCUUUAUAUAUUUAGGUGCUGUAAUGUUGGAUGCAUGUAUAUUUAUAAUUGUUAUAUCUGCUUGAUGAAUUGACCCUAUAAUGAUCUUUUUUGUCUGUUUUACAGUUUUGAUUUAAAGUCUAUUUUGUCCAUAUUCUCUUUUGGUUUUUAUUUGUGUGAAAUAUCUUUUUUCCAUCCCUUUACUUUCAGUCUUUGUGAGUCCUUAAAGGUGAAGUGAGUCACUUGUAGGCAACAUAUAGAUAAGUCUUGUUUUUUUAUUCGUUCAGCCACUCUGUGUCUUUUGAUUGGAAAAUUUAAUCCAUUUACAUUCAAAGUAAUUAUUCAUAGGUGAGGUCUUACUAUUGCCAUUUUGUUAAUUGUUUUCUAGUUAAUUUGUAGACCCUUUGUUUCUCUCUUCCUCUGUUGCUGUCAUCCUUUGUGGUUUGAUAAUUUUCCAUAGUGGUAUUAUUACAAGUUAGACAGGCAUUAGUGGGGCAGAAGAGGGCUCUCCCCCACCCACUAGGAAUGUCAGGUGAUGGUUCGACUGACAGUUAUCACAAUGAUAAUUUGGCAGCUGGCACCAGGAACAGACAAUCUCCUAAUGGUCCACAAGCUGUUAACAUUAAAGUGUUAAUUGAAUGCAGACACCAGGGAGAAGCAAAAAGGGCUUCCAAUAAAAUCUCAGGUAUUGGGCUAGUGAGCCUGGGCACAUGCAUUCAGUGACAAAAUGGCUGAGUAUGACCUUCCAGGGUCACUCCACUGGAAAAGGGAAGAAAGCCUCAGAUGAGCAUGUGUACAACUUCCUGAACACACUGUACAUGCACACUUCCCAAGCAUAAGGAGGGCACUGUGCAUGCAGGCAGCCCAUCCUAAGGGAAGAAUCAAGGAAAAAGGUUGCAAGACGCCGGAGGUGGGCCAGCCUGUAAACUCCUAGGAUCAAGGUUAAAUGCUGCAUUUGACCUUCUCGGUGCCUGCUUGGGUCUCUUCCGAGUGUACUUUCCUUUCUUUCCUGCUCUAAAGCUUUUUAAAUAAACUUCCACUCCUGUUCUGAAACUUGCCUCAGUCUCUUUUUCUUUUUUUUUUGAGAUGGAGUCUUGCUCUGUUGCCCAGGCUGGAGUGCAGUGGCAUUAUCUCAGCUCACUGCAACCUCUACCUCCUGGGUGCAAGUGAUUUUCCUGCUUCAGCUUUCUGAGUAGCUGGGAUUACAGGCAUGCACCAUGCCCAGCUUUGUAUUUCUUUUUUUUUUUUUAGUAGAGAUGGGGUUUCACCAUGUUGGCCAGGCUGGUCUCGAACUCCUGACUUCGUGAUCAACCCACCCCAGACUCCCAAAGUCCUGGUAUUACAGGCGUGAGCCACCGUGUCCGGCCCUCAGUCUCUUUUUCUGUCUUAUGCCCCUCAGUCGAAUUCUUUCCUGAGGAGGCAGGAAUUGAGGUUGCUGCAGACCUGUACAGAUUUUGCCCAUGGUAACUAGGAUACCUUACACUGGUAAUGGUGUGCUUUGAAUUCUUUAUUUUUAUCCUGUGUAUAUCUACUAUAGGUUUUUGCUUUGUAGUUAUCAUUAGGCUUGCAUAAAACAUUUUAUACUAAUAACAGGCUGUUUUAAGCUGAUAAUAACUUAACUUUGAUCACUUGCACAAACUCAACUCUUUUACUCCCCCCUCUCAGUUUGUUUUGUUGACAUGUUUUGUAUAUUUUAUGGUUUGUGUCCCUUGACAAAUUAGUAGCUGUAGUUGUUUUUAAUAGAUUUGUUUUUUUUGUUUGUUUUUUUUUUAAAGAAAGGUAGGAGGAUCACUUGAGGCCAGGAUGAAGAAAGCCUACUUAAUAUAACAAGACCCUGUCUCUACAAAAAAAUAAAAUAAAAUAAAUUAGGCAUGGUGGCAUGUGCCUGUAGUCACAGCUACUGGGAAGGCUGAGGCAGAGGAUGGCUUGAACCCAGGAGUUCAAGGCUGCAGUGAGCCAUAGUCACACCACUGCACUCCAGCCUGAGUGACACAGUGAGAUCCUGUCAACAACAACAACAAUAACAAAACACAAAGAAAAAGUGAGUAUUGAAAUAGUCUAAAGUGAAGGAAUAAAAAGAUAAUGUCUUAUGAAAAGGGAAUGUUAAAAUGAAAGCUUCCUAACUUGUUUCAAUGUAGCUAGCUCCUGAAGAAGUUAAAAGUCCAUCUUGGAAGGAUUUUAGAAGUGGUAAAUUAGGUCUAGGGUUCAUAGGAAAAACAAAAAAAAACUGCUUGAAGAUGAAGAAAACACGCACAGAAUAGCCUAUGCAAAUAGACUCUGGUAAUAACUCUAAUGACUCAGACACCAUAGAAAAUCUCAGAUUUAGGAACUUCUGGUCUGGCUCCUGAUUUGAGAUGAUACAAGUUGUAUUAUAAACUGAUUAGGUACAGAAGGGCCCAGAGCAUCUGAGUAGGAUGGUUCAUGAGACACAGUUAAGGAGUAGAAGCAAAAGACUUUCAGACCAAUUGGGGUGUGUGAUAAAUAAAGCUUAAUUUUGAAAUUUGAGAUGCAUUUUAUUUGGCAGAAUUCUUGGUAAGCUGGUCUCUUAAGAAAAGCAAUCAUCCUCAGGUGCAAAAACCUUAUCCUAAGAGCCUGGUAAGAAGGGUAAUAAUUUGAAAAGAUACAGAGACUAAUGAAGAAAACAAUGCUAUAAGUGUGACAUUUUGGGAGGAGAGAGAAAUGUCAAGAGGCAUUUUAGGCAACUUUCUAUAUGAUGUGUGCUAUAUACAACUUUGGCUGGGUGCGGUGGCUCAUGCCUGUAAUCCCAGAACUUUGGGGGGCUGAUCACUUGAGGUCAGGAGUUUGAGACCAGCUUGACCAACAUAGUGAAACCCUGUCUCUACUAAAAAAUACAAAAAUUAGUCAGGUGCGGUGGCGGGUGCCUGUAAUCCCAGCUACCUGGGAAUCUGAGGCAGGAGAAUCGCUUGAACCUGGGAGGCGGAAGUUAGAAGAGCCAAGAUCAUGCCACUGCCCUCCAGCCUGGGCGACAAAGCUAGACUCCGUCUCAAACAAACAAACAAACAAACAAACAAACAAAAAACCAACUUAGUCUGUGUUGUACUUGUCAGGAAAACUACAGUAAAUAUCUGUUUUUCAAGGCUUCUGAAUUACCAUUUUUUGAUAAGUUUGAUAAGGAGAAAUAGGCUAUAUAAAAGCCCACAUACAUUUAGAUUAUGUGUGUAUCUUCUCUUACCUAGGGUUAUCCAGUAUAUUUCCUUUUAAAGGAAACAUCUUUCCCUCUAAACACUGAAUACAUAAUUCAGAAAUUCUCUGAGAGGUUGAAAAUUAUUUCCUCACAUUUGGAGAUAAGAAUAUAAAAUAUUAAUUCACUUUUUUAAAAAAGAGAGUAAAUCAUUGUUUCUUUUACCGUCACCUACUGCAUAACAUUCCACAUCUAACCCCCUUUGUAUGGCCAUAGCGUAUAUCUUAUUGAGAUUAAAUACACUUUUUACACAAACCAAAUAAUUCUUUUAGUUUUCUAGAUAACUGGCAUCAUAAUACUUCUGUUUCUGUUUUUUUAAAAUUGGGACCUAUUUUGUUAUUACCCUAUAUUACUAGUGUAAUAAAAUAAUAUCACUUAAUGUUCUCAUAUCCUUUAAUUAUAGACUGAGUAGUGUUGGAGGAAAGUCCCUGGGGCCUAGUAGAGGGACAAGUUGUGGACUGUUAGACAUGGUCUAACAGUCUAAAGCUCUAAGCAGCCAACUAAAUUGUUUGAAGUAUAAAAGUGGCAAAUGCAAUCUUCAUAUUUAUUUGGUGACUGCAGUAAGUAGCAUCUGUAAUUUUCAAAGACCACGUAAAAUCAAUACCACAGAGAGGAUCAAGGCUAGCUAUAGCCCUGAAAAUCCAGCACAGUCCCAAGCCUCCCUUUGUAUAACAAAUAUGUUAUUAUUUCUCCUUUAUAAUCUUAACACGGAAUUCUUAGAUAAUUUAACCUACCUACAUGCAAAAAUUUAGGAAAAUAAAUGUAAUGCCCUAGUUGUAAAAUAAAAAAGGAAUAAAAAUAAAACAAUAAAUACAUUCCAGUUUGUAAAUCCAUGAGCACAAUUACAAUUACACUUGAAGACAUAAUGAUGUGUAUCUUUUUUUUUUUUUUUUUUUUUUUUUUGAGAUGGAGUUUCUCUCUCGUUGCCCAGGCUGGAGUGCAAUGGCAUGAUCUCGGCUCACCACAACCUCCACCUCCUGGUUUCAAGCAAUUCUCCUGCCUCAGCCUCCCAAGUAGCUGGGAUUACAGGCAUGUGCCACCACGCCUAGCUAAUUUUGUAUUUUUAGUAGAGAGAGGGUUUCUCCACGUUGGUCAGGCUGGUGUCAAACUCCCUACCUCAGGUGAUCUGCCCAACCUUGGCCUCCCAAAGUGCUGGGAUUACAGGCGUGAGCCACCGUGCCUGGCCAAAUGAUGUGUGUCUAUACAUAGAAAGCAUGUUGAAUGCAAUAGUUAAUAAUGCACAUUGUAUUGUAUUAUACAUUGAAGGAGCAUAAUUGAUGGUGACAUUUUUUCCAAAAUAUUGAGAAACUCUUUGCUAAGUUCUGGGUAGAACAAAUACAUUUUUCCCUUGAUUACAUGGUACCACAUAUAUGGUUACUGCAUAAAGAAUGCCAGACAUACUUUGUAUUUACAUGUGAAGUGGAGUUAGGUUCCAGGCCCAAGUAAUUAUAAAUAAGUUUUCACUUGCAGAAAUCAGGCAAAUUGCCAUUUCAUUUUUAAGUGUAUAGUCCUAGUGAUCAUAUUGCAGUAUAUCUGGCAUGUCUGGCCCCCACCCUUUAAAUGCCACUAGUAUUCCUCCCAAUUAUUUUGACAACUAAAAAAGUUUCCCACCAUUUUCACCUCUGUUGAAAUAUUGCUCUCCUACAUUUCCUUGAGGUUUAACUGUUACAGUGUUAAUGGAAAGAAUAACACAUCUAUCAAUUGAACAUAUGAGGUCCACAAGUAAUAGGCUCCUGUUGGCUGUUUUAACAAAAGUUUUUUUUUUUUUUUUUUUGACUUGUAACGCUAGCUAUCUUUAGGUCUCUAGAUAUUGCACCCUCCAUAUGCAAUCAGAUUCUAAAACUUCUGAUAAAAAAUGCAUCUCCUGGAAAUGUCUGUGAAAAGGUUUGUAGACAACUAGUCAGUGUGGUAGACAGAACAAUGGAACCUAAGAAUAUGUAUAUGUUAUCUUGGCACAAGGGACUUUGCAGGUGUGAUCAAAUUAAGGAUCUUGAGGUGGAGAGAUUAUUCUGGAUUAUCUGGGUUGUCCCAGUGUGAUCACAAGGGUCUUAAUAUGGGAAAGGGGGAGGCAGGGGAGUCAGAUCAGAUUCAGAGAGAGAUUUGAAGAUGCGAUACUGCCGGCUUUAAAUGCCCAUUGAACUCUGCUUCAAAAAAUGAAAACACACCUCUAUAAAAUGUAUAUUGGGAAUAAACUUUGUAUUUACAUACAUUGGGGAAUUUUAAAAAAAUGUAAUGUUUGGACAUUACAUAUUUUACCAUAUUACUUUGCUAUAUUUGGACAUUCCAUAUUUUACCAUAUUACUUUGUUAUAAAAUUAUAAAUUUAACUUUUAAUACAGAUUGCCAGAAUAUUCUAGAUUAGAGAUUAGGUUUUUGUUUUCCUCAAGACAUAAAACAAGUAUGAACAUUCUAAACUGCUGGAUGAAUCUGAAAGACAGUAAUUUCAAAACUCAAUUUAUACUCAUGUUAAAUAUAACUACAUUAAGAGUUUAAAAUUUCAUGGGAGAAAAUAUAAUAAAGAGAUAGGAUCAUUUAUAGUCUUAAGAAUAAUGUUGGUUUCCCAAGUGCGUUUCUUAGCAAUUAAAGCAUAAGGUGAAUUGAAAUUUGCUUCAUAGGCAGUUUGACUGUAUGUAUCAGAGAAUGAAAAGAGGACAUUUGUAGUAAUGCAUGGAAACUUGCUGCUUCAAAUUAAAGUUCUCCUCUGCUGUUGUAGAAUGGAUUCCAUACAGUAGCUAGUUGUGGAUGAUUCAGAAAAUUAUGAGUUUAGAGUCCCAGUUGUUAAUUUAUAAGUUUUGUGGGGAAGUAUCACCUGCAUUUGUGCUGAAUAAAAUAUACGUGGAUUCUUUAAAAAAAAUCACAAUUUUUUUCUAAAUUUAUUUUUUAAAAAGUUUUUAGAGAGAAUAAAUACAAAAUUAGUCAAUUUGAACAUGUUUUGUUCACAUUCUUUAAAUUGCUUGUUGGUCUCCUUAACAAUUUUUCUUUUCCUUUGACCCUCUGCUUUUCUCAUUUUUAUUUUCCUCCUUGAAGAAACGAUUCAUUCUAAGGGCUUUAAACAUUUCUUUUUGUGUUGAUGUUUAAAUCUUUUAUUAUUAGUCUCAUAUUCUCCCUCAAGACUCAGAAUUCUAGUACUCCUAAUGAACAUUUAUGUCCGUUGGGCAGUCCUGCUGCCAUCCUAAGCUACACAUACUGGGAAUGGAACUCAAUCAUCUUUUCUUUGCAAAUCAGUGUCUCUUACCAAUUUCUUUCAUUCUGUUUACCCAGUCUUCUAGGUUUGAAAUUUUGGGGUUGUUUUUAGGAUUUUGUAUUGCCUUCAUUUUCUUAAUUAAUCAGAGUCCUUCUAGUUCUAGUCUAGAAAUAUGUUUCAUAUCUGCCAUUCAUGUUCCACUAUGAUUUUGACUGUCUUGCAGUUCCUGAUAAUUUUAUGAAUAGAUUAAUAUAAUGCUGUUUAACUUAUUUUCUAUAUGCUUAAUUCAUUCUAGACAUAGCUGGAAGACAGAUCUUAAAUUAUAACUUUUUUUUUCCUAUAUGUUAUUCAAUGAAGAAUAAACCUAGUUUAGUAUUUCACUUGGUAAAGUGUAGUACGUCAUGCAUGAAUUGCAGCAUCAGGAUCACUUGUGAUAUUUGCCAGAGGUGGCCAUCCCACAUCACCUAAAUCAAAUCUCUGGGCAUGGAUUCUGGGAAUCAGCAUUUUUAGAAGGCAGCAUAAGUGAUUCCGAUGCACACUAACAUUUGAGAACUACUGGAAAGGAUAAAAUUCAACCUAAAAUUCAAAACCCUUUAACAUAUGGCCCUACCUUGUAUAUUCCAGUUUAUUUUUCACUAGUUCUAAUAUAAUCUUUUGCUCACUCUAACAGUCACUCUAGAUAUGCCACGAUCAAAUUGCUUCUGAGAAUUUGUUUAUAACCCCUUUAUUCAGAAUGCCUUAUUUUUUUUUUUUGCAUCCAUCCUUCAAGCCCUUCUUCUUUAUGGACUCUUUUAAGCUAUGUAUUAGUGAGCACCUACCAUUUAUGUCAGACACUUCAUGGAAAAUUUUUACUAUCCAUUAAGCAACCUAGGUAUAAUUGUUCCCAUUUUACAACCAAGGACAUUGAGACUUAGUGCAGUUAAGCAGCUUGCCCUAAGCCGUACAGGUAGUAAGGAGUAGAGUUUGAUUCAAAUCUAGGUCUAGGUUUGACGUGCUCCUCCCAGUGGUAGCUUUCAAGUUGGCUCUGUAGGCAGCUGCUUAACUAAAACCUACCUGGUUUUCUGUGUUUGUAUGCUAGGGCUUUCCCACAGGUCACUUUUAAAUACAGCUUAAAUAUUUUUAAAACCAUUUUAUGAGUUCUAUUAGGACAGCUAGGACAUUCAAAUGGAAAUUCAUUAGAUUAUUAUUUAACUGUUAAAUGUGUGUCAGCUUCUCUGUAGUUGAGCCAUAAGCUUCUUAGAGAACUGAAAGGAAAUUUUAAAAAGCCUAUCCCUUUCAUCACCCAGUGUGGUAGUGGUUGUAUUUAGUAUGUAUUCACCGAAUAUCUGCUCAGAUUAAGUAGAAUCCAGAACAGUGAAAGAUGUACUUUCAUUGAGUAGGAAUCACUGGUUCCAGAAAACAAGAAAUUGUUAGCAUCUGAGGACAAAGACUACCAGUUAUUUUAAUGUUUUUUUAGAGCAUUUUGAAGAAGAUGGAAACUUAAUAAAAUUUUAAUUAUCAUGUGUUUAUCUUCAAUUGGUGAUUAGAAAAUGUUUUCCAAACUUUUUGUGUUCAGCAUGAAAUAAAAACACAAAAUAAUUUUAUUAGCAGAAAAGUUCUACUAAUGUAACAUAAAACUACAAUGAAAUAUACAAUUUUGGGAUGUUAUCGACUAAAUAUCAUUAAGUUUCUCCUGCUAUAGAAUUUAAUACUUGUUUGUCCAUUGUAAAACAUGAAUAUUACUACCUUACAAUUUUAUCUAACCUUCAAUAUAUUUGUAGUUUAGGCCAAAAACAUCUAUGUUCUCAUGUCACAAAAAAACAUUUAGCUCAAGUGAAUUGACUUCCUCUAUCAUAAUCAACUCUAUGUAAUUAAGAAAUUACUAAACCUUGAAGAGGAACAAUCAAUAAAGUAAACAUUUUUGAUCCAUUACAUAUAAUGUUAACUCUCAAGCAUGUUUGGUGAAGCUAUGCUUUCAUAUAAUGCUUUCAAUGCAUUAUUAGAUAAGAAGACAAGUUCUCAGUAAGGUUGUGGUAUAUAAGUAUUAAUAAGCAUUGAAGGCCUAACAGCACUGGCUGUCAAAUCUGUGUGUAUUAAUGUGAAUUAAUGAGCUUUUCCUCUCCCAAGAGGAAAACAGUUUAUUACAGGUUAAACAAUGAUGAGCAAAACACAGGCAAUGCCAGUGUGAUAGAAAGCCUUCAAUUUAGAGAAGUGACCUUUAAAAGGGAUUGCAUAAAUAACCCCAAGAUAAUCAGUUGGUAUAAUAUUUUGGGUUUAGAGUUUAGAUGGUAGUAAAAGCGUGUUUAUUGAUUGGUUUGAUUUUUUAAAAUUGUACCCCUUGGGAAAUCACCUCAGUGCAGAAUUAAAGUGAAAACACAAUGAUAACAACAAAACAUGUAUAACUAAAACUAUCAUAGAAUGAAAUACUGGUUUGAAAAAAAUCACCCUUUUAAUGUCACGCUAUGGUGGAAAGUUAGGUAUUUUCAAUUCUCCAAAUUACACAGAGAAACUAGAAAGCACUGAUUAUGUGUCUAGUUGUUGGUGUGGAAAGGAUAAUACCUUAGGACUAUUAAACUAAUACAUUUCAUUUUUAGUAAUCCCUAGUUCCAAGUUGAUCCAAGGCUGUGUUUAGAAUCCUGCCAAGAGGACUCACAUAUUUGCUUUUAUAUUAUAGCAAAGAUAUCAUUCUAUCAUUUAGGCUGAGCAGUUAGGCUUAGCACCCAAAAGAAGGAAGAUUUGAUACUCUGGAAGACCUUGACAGAAGGAAAGUUAAAAAGCCUGUUCCUUCUGGUCUCAGAAUAUGUGAAAAAGAAUUAAUCAGACAUAGGUUUCUGACUUCCCUUCUCCAGGCUAACAAGUUUGCAAGAAAGCCAAAAAUAGAGUAGCUUUUGUUGAACUUUUCUUUUGGAAUGUUCAUAUGAAGUUGUCACUUAGGGUGGCUCUGUGUCAACAUGUGAAGUAAUACAUGGCAAUGGUAGAUGAAGGUGGCUACAAAGAUGAAUCUGAGGCAACGUACCUGGCUCUGAGAGUCCAGCUGUGUUUGGAGGGGGUGUUGCUGGGAAUUUGCCCAAAGUGGUUUGCUGCAGUAGUUGGUGAGGCCAGACAUUCAAUGGGAGUCACCUCUAAACUCCAUGAAGAUAGCUGCACAGGAAGUAAGAUUUAACUAGGGGUUGAAUCAGUGACAGUUGGAUGGGGUGGAGGUGAAGUGUCAGCAGGCCAUUACUGAGCAAAGAUAACAGACCUUAUAUUCCUUUGUAAAACAAUGGCAUAUCUAAGGAUUGCACCAGCCACCUCACAGUAGAGACCAGCACAAGGAUGGCAGGCUACAUGGAAGGGAAAAUCCCUUGAAUUCUGUAAGCUUUCCCCUAUACCCAGAUGUCAGCUUGGGAAGAGGAGGAUGAAAAGUACAACUCUGAAAUUGAGCUAAACUUUGAGUUGACUAAAUAUUUUACAUUACAGAGGUUGUUUAAACUGGAGCUAUCAAUUGGCCAUUUUGAGAUAAGUCCUUGUCCUCUCACUUCCUUCCAAAUAGGGUAGAAUAUUGAGAAGGAUAUUAAAUGGAGUUAUAGAAAAUAAAAUAGAAUUUUUUUUUUGCACAUUUCAUUAAUAGUAUAAAUUUGAGAAUUUGCUAGUGAAUCUGCUGUGCUUAUCCCCACUCCCCAAGUCCUCACUCUCAGCUGAGCUGGCUUCCUUUUUCUCUAAGAAAAUUGAAGUAAUCUGAAGGGAAUUUCCACAAGUUUUCAUCGCUACAUCUAUUUACUUAUAAAUUUCUGUGACCAUAUACUCUGUCUUCACAUCUGAGACAUUAGAGGAGCUGUCUGAUUCAUCCAAAGGCAACUCUUCUACUAGGACCUUAGAUCCUAUCUCCUCUUACCUAUUACAACUAUUCUCACCUCUCUUUUGAGUAAUCAAUUUUUUUCUUGUUACCAAUUAUUCCAUCAUAAAACAAACAUGGCUUAUCUCUGACCAUCGAAAACAAGUUCUCUCAAUACAAUCUCAUUCUUCUUCAUUCCCAUAUCUGUGUUUUCUUUAUAGCAAAACUUCUCAAAUACCUCCAAUAUCAUUCUUCAAGUUCUUUUAAAACUUACUACAAUAGGCUUUCACCCCAAUCAUUCCACUGAAACUACUCUUAUGAAGGUAACUAAUGACUUCCAUAUUGCUAAAUAAAAUGGAUAAUUCUUCAUCUUCCUCUGUCUUGACUCAUCAGCACUUAACACAGGCAAUCACUUUUCUUUUUUCUCUUCCUUGACUGGCUUCCACUUCCCAGUCUCUGUUAUUGGCACCUCCUCAUCUUUCCAACUUCUCAAUAUUGGAAGCUCUAAGAGUUCAGUCCUGGAAUGUUUUCUCUAUUUUGUCUACACUUACUCCUUUUGUGUUCUCAUUCAGUUUCAUGGUUUUUAAUAUUAUUUUAUUAUUUCUAUGUGGACAUCUCCCAAAUUUUUAUAUCCAGCCUGAAAAUGGGUCUUCUGAACUUUUACCUCCUAUAGUGAAUUGCCUACUCAACAACUCCACUUGGAUAUGUAAUACGUAUCUCAAAUGUAACAUGUACAAACAGAACCUUCCCCUUCUCAGCUGAUGAUAGCUACAUCCUAUGGUUGCUCAGGCCAAAGAGCCUUGGAGUCAUCAUUGAUUCCUCCUUUUCUCUGACAAUCUAUAUGAAAGCCAUCAGCAAAUCCUAGAAUCCAGCUCUGUCUCACUACCUCCACUACCACUGUCGGUUUUUAGUCUCUCAUCUUUGUCUCCCUAGAGUCUAUUCUUAGCUCAACCAGAGUGAUGCUUUGAAUGUAAGUUAUGUCACGUCUCUCCUCGGCUUAAAACCCUCAAAUGGCUACCUACGUCCCUCAGAGUAAAAACUAAAGUUUGUAUCCUGAUCUAUAAGUUCUUACAGUCUUCAUGGCCCCUCUCCCCCACCUCUUUAUCUCAUCUUUUACUACUUCUCAUUCUUACUCUGCAUAGCUGCACCAGUUUUCUGUCUCUCAAACACACUGGGUACAUUCUGAUCUCAGGGCUUUUGCCUUUGCUCCUCUUUCUUUCUGGAAAGCUCAUCCCUAAUUUCUGCAUGAUUCAAGCUCUCACAGUAUUUGUUUUUAUUUCUCAAAUGACACAUUUUCAGUAGGACCUUCCUUGACUACCCUAUUUAAAAUUACAAUCUCCACCCCUAAUAUGGCAUUUCUUAUCCUUUUUUCCUGCUUUGUUUUUCUCCAUAGCUUUUAUGACUUUCUGAUAUCCUGAACAAGUUAUUGAUUUUUUUUAAUAAUAAGGCUCUAUUUUAAUGUUGUGUGAAUUACCAAGAAGUAGAGAUUGACUGUAAUUUCCCAAAGACAGAACAUUCAUUUCACAGCUACACAAGAACAGGGCUACGAGUGAAAAGGCACCCUAAUUUGGGAUAGUGUGAAGAAACAUAGUUUGUGUUUUGGACAAUUUAUAGAGACAAAUUUCCAGGGGACCUAAGAAUACUGUUGGUCCAUAUGGAUAUAAAGUGAAAAAUGAAAGAACUCAUGCAAAAAUCUAUGCUAUCUUUAUUCUUCCUAGGUUAAUUAAAUCUCUAUUUAAUGCAAAUUUUAUAAGUGUAUUCUGCUGUUAUUGGAGAAAAUGAAUGUUUUCAAAGAAUUCCUAUGCUCCAACUUAUGAAACCAUACUCUGUCUAGACAAGGGCAUAGGAGAUAUUUCUAAAUACUAAUAAUAAACUCAGAAAAAGAGAUAAAACCAUCUUAUUUACAAUAGCAUAAAAAACUUAGAAAUAAAUUUAAACAAAGAAGUGAAAGAUCUGUACACAGAAAACUACAAAACAUUGAUAACAAUGGAAGAAACAUAAAUAAAUGGAAAGAUAUUCCAUGUUCAUGGAUUGGAAGAAUUAAUGUUGUUAAAAUGUUCAUAUUUACCCAAAGUGAUAUGUAGAUAUAAUGCAAUUCCUAUCAAAAUCCAAUGACAGUUUUCAUAGAAAUAGAAAAAAAAAUUCUAAAAUUCAUAUGGAACCACAAAAGAGGGAGGCAUUAUAUUACCUGCUCUCAAUAUUGACUACAAAGCUAUGGUAAUUAAAACAGUAUGGUAGUGGCAUAAAAACAGACACACAGACCAAUGGAGAAUAGAGAGUCCAGAAGUAAACCCAAACGCAUACAGUCAACUAAUUUUUGACAAUGGCACCAAUGAGAUGGCAUGGGGAAAGGUUAGUCUCUUCAGUAAAUGGUGCUGGGAGAAAAUAUCCACAGGCAAAAUAAUAAAAUCAGACCCUUAUAUUAAGGAAUGCAAAAAAACAAAAACAAAAACCUCAAAAUGGCUUAAAGACCUGCACAUAAGACCUGAAACUACAAAACCCCGACAAGAAAACAUAGGUGCAGAGCUCCUUGACUUUGGCCUUGGCAAUGAUUUUUUGCUUAUAGCUCCAAAAGCACAUGCAAUAGAAGCAAAAAUAAACAAGAGGGACUACAUCAAACUAAAAAGCUUCUGCACAGCAAAGGAAACAAUCAUCAAAAUGAAAAGGUAGCCUACAGAUUGGGUGAAAAUAUUUGCAAACCAUACAUCUAAUAAGGGGCUAAUAUCCAAAAUAUAUAAGGAACUCACACAACUCAAUAGCAAAAAAAAUGAAUAACCUGAUUAAAAAAUGGGCAAAGAACCUUAAUAAAUUUUUCCAAAGGAGACAUAAAAACAGCAACAGGUAUCUGAAAAGGUUCUCAACAUUACUAAUCAUCAAGAAAAUGCAAAUCAGAACUGCAAUGAGAUAUUACUUCACAUCUGUUAGGAUGGUUAUUAUGAAAAAGACAAGAGGUAGCAAAUGUUGGGGAAGGAGUGGAAAAAAGAGAACCUUUGUACACUGUUGGUGGGAACGUAGAUUGGUGCAGCCACUGUGGAAAACGGUAUGGAGGUUUCCUACAUAGUCCAAAACUAAAUAUAGAAUUACCAUAUCUCCAAAAUAUGAUAGAACUGUUAUAAUUCCAGAAAUUAAAUCUAGAACUACAAUAUGAUCCAGCAAUCCCACUUCUGGAAAUAUACCCCCAAGGAAAUAAAAUCUCCGCUCCUGUAGCUAGCUGCUGUCUCAUGUUAACUGCAGCAUUAUUCACAAUUGCCAAGAUAUGGAAACAAUUAAAGUGUCCUUUGAUGGAUGAAUAAAGAAAUUGUGGUAUAUAAUGAAAUAUUAUUCAGCCUUAAAAAAGGAGAUGCUGCCAUUUGUGACAACAUAGGUGAAUGUAGAGGAUGUUAUGUGAGGUGAAAUAAACAAUACAAAAAUACUGCAUGAUCUCAUUUAUAUGUGGAAUUUUUUUAAAAAAUGAAAUAUGUAGAAACAGUAGGACAGUGGUAUCAGGAGCUGGGAGAUGGGAGGUAGGAAAGUGUAGGCCAAAGGAUACAAAGUCACAAUUAUGCCCAACGAGUAAAUCUAGAGUCUAAUGUACAAUAUGAGGGCCAGGUGCAGUGGCUCAUGCCUGUAAUCCCAGCACUUUGGGAGGCUGAGGUGGGCGAAUCACUUGAGAUCAGUAGUUCAUGACCAGCCUGGACAACAUGGUGAAACCCCGUCUCUACUAAAAAUACAAAAAUUAGCUGGGUGUGGUGGUGGGCACCUGUAAUCCCACCUACUUGGGGGGCUGAGAGAGGAGAAUUGCUUGAACCCGGAAGGCGGAGGUUGCGGUGAGCCAGGAUUGCCCCGCUGGACUCCAGCCUGGGCAACAGAGUGAGACUCUGUCUCAAUAAUAAUAAUAAUAAUAAAUGUACAACGUGAGGACUAUAGUUAAUAAUAUUGUAUUAUAUACUGGUAAUUUGCCAAAAGAAUAAAUUUUAGAUACUCUUACCAUCAAAAAAAAAAAAAGAGAAAAGAAAGGUAACUGAGAUUAUAAUUUGCUAAACUGUAAUAAUCCAUUUACUAUGUGCGUGUUCAUUAUAUAUAUAUAUAUAUAUACACACACAUAUACAUAAACAUGUUGUAGCCCUAAAAUCUAUGCAAUAAAAUUUAAAAAAUAAAAACACCCAAGAUGUCUUUUCCUCCUAAUUAAAUUUAUAUUUGCUAUAAAUUUAAGUUUAUUGUCCCAUUCCAAGUGCUAGUGAAGGAUUUCAAAGAAGUCCUUUGUUCGAUGUUAUUAGCGAUAUCCUACUGUAUCUAUACCAAGGCAUGGGAGGCACUGACGAUUGCAACUAAGACUUACCAAACCACAGGGGUUCUCAAAAUUUAGGGUGGGUAAGAAUCACUUGGAGUAGGUUGGGAGUUGAAGAAAACUUGUUAAAAAUGCACAUUUCCUGGCUGUAACAUAAGGUAUUCUGAACCAAUAGAUUUGGGGCCUAAGUUGGUAAUCUGCAGUUUCAGUAUGCUCCUCUGGUGAUCUUGAACAGGUGGUCCAUCUCGCCUCCUUUGGGAAACACUGCACCAAUGUUUAUUAUCGUAGAAGAAAAUUACAUAGAAGAAAUCUAGAAGAAAUUUCAACGAAUUUUAGAACACUGAAGAAUUUAGGGGUCCAGAUAGCUUUCUUAUUUUUUUGUUGUUCAAAUCUUAUCUUUUGUAAGAGAAAUUUGAAUAGCUAGGGACAUUGGUGAUAUCAGAAACCUAGAUUUCACUUCCUCUAUCAUUGUUUAUAAAAUCAAAACGAUGGAGUCCUAAGAACAGACUAAAUUUAUUUUAUAAACACCAAAAGAAUGUAUUUGAUAGGAAACUAGCACCUGAUCAAAGUGAAUAUUGACAUGGAGGGAGAAAUUUCCUGAGAAGGCUGUAAAACUGGCGUUAUGUUAGUUUACAAGAAAAUGAAGCUGCAUGAAGAGGAUAUUUAUUAAAUAGUGAAACAUUAGGUCUCUCUGUUGUUUGAAUUAUUUACAGCAAACAAAAUACUUUUAGGUAAAAUAUGUAAACGAAUACGCAGAUAAGAAAAUGGACACAGGUUUUUUUCAUGCGUCUUGUAACCGUUUAAAGGAGACCAUUGGAUUUAGUGCUUAACCAAUAUAUGUUUUAUUGUGCAAACCAAGUAUUUGGAUAUUAAUAUUUUAAAAAACUGAUAAAGUCUUUAUCAACUUUUACUGAACACCAUAUUAUCUACUUGACUGUUACAUUGCUUUAAGAGUCCAGUCUCGACUCACCUGUGAUCCUAAGUGAAAAAUAAAUAACAUGAGAUCAUUAAAAUUUCCUACUGAGUUAAAUUCAGAUUGAAUCCAGAUAUCUAAAAGUAAAAGUCAAAGUAACACUAUCAUAAACAAUCUAUAUUAGCUUUUCAAUUAAUAAAUAAAUUUUUUUAGAGAUGGAGUCUAUAUUAUCCAGGCUGGUAUUUGACUCCUGGGUUCAAGCAAUCUUCCCAUCUCAGCCUCCCAAGUAGCUGGGACUGUAGACAUGCACCACUAUGCCUUGCUGACUAGAAUCUGUAUUAGAUUUUUAAAAAUAAACUUUUUUUUUUGAAUAAUCUGAGAUUUACAGAAAUGUUUCAAAGACAGUAUAAAGUUUUCGUUUUCCUCAUUUUUUCUCUUUUUUUCUUGAUUUAAUUGACACAUAACAACAAUAUAUUUAUAUGGUGCAAUGUGAUGUUUACUUAUAUGUAUAUGUUGUAGAAUGAUUCCUCUUAUGUCCCUUGCCCAGUCUCCCCUAAAGUUAACGUUGUAUAUCAUCAUAGUACAUUUUUGAAAACUAAGAAAAUAAGCUAGCCAUGGUGGCUCACACCUGUAAUCCCAGCACUUUGGGAGGACGAGGUAGGAGGAUCGCUUGAGUCCAGGGGUUCAAGACCAGCCUGGGCAAAAUAGGGAGACCAUGUAUCUACAAAAAAUACAAACAUUAGCUGGUCAUGGUGGCAUGUGCCUGUAGUCCCAGCUACUCAGGAGGCUGAGGUGGGAGGAUCACUUGAGCCCCAGAGGUUGAGGCUGCAGUGAAUUGUGUUUGCGUACUCCAGCUGGGGCAACAGAAUGAGACCCUGUCUCAAAACAAAAAACAACAUUGGUGCAUUGUUAUUAAUUAAGCCCUAGACUUUAUUUGGAUGUCACUGUUUUCCCGCUAAUGUCCUUUUGUUCUUUCAGGAUCCAAUUCACAAUACUUUUGGUACAUUGGCUGUAUAUAUAGAUGUAAAGGGCUGCAUAGGCUGUACACUGCACUACUCUGGGGGUGCCAUUUACAUUGCUGUGCCAGGCACUGUUCAUAAUGCUUUACAUCUAUUAACUUGUUUAGUCAUCACGGAAGCUCUAAAAGGUAGGCAAUAUAAUUAUCCCUAUUUUACAAGUAUGGGCAUUGAGGACAAAGAGAUUCGGUAACCUUAAAAGAUCACUUAGCUAGUAAGUGGAGAAACUGAGAUUCUAGUUACACAGCCUGUGCUCUUAGAGACAUUCCGAAUCGGCGAGCUUCCUAUCCCAACUGACCAGCUAUAAGAACACACUUCUUAUUCCAAGGAACUGACUGAUUGACCUUAAGCAAGUCACUCAAUCUCUCUGGACCUCUGUUUGCUCAUCCAUGAAAGUGUAGAAGUGGAUUACAUAAUCUAUACAAGUUUCCUACCUUUAAAACAAAUGUAUAACAUUGAAACAUGUAUCUUUAAAUUUAAUUUCCAGCUCAGAGACCUACUGCAUUUUUGUACUCUUGCCAAUCAACUUUUAAAAAAUAAAACGUUCAUUAAAAUCAGAAUAUUGAAUAUUAAAAUUCCAAUUAUAUUUUUAAGGAGGAUCUAUAUAUCACAUUGAGACACUUCUUUUUUUGCCUCGGGUUGUUAGCUUGUUGAUUUUGAAUUUUAUAUCAUGCUUUUGAAUACUACUCAAUUUUACAUAUGCCCUUUGUAUGCCAAUAAAACUAAACUAAAUGUCACUUCUUAUGUAGGAAUGCACAAGCAAAUAAACAGUAUAUAGCCACAUAUUUCAGUAGAUUAAACUCAGUUGAAAUUAUCCCACAUGCUGGCACUGUAAUAUGCUAUUGAUCUCAGAUUGCAUUUUCUGUUUCUUUAUAAUUGAAUUUUGUUCCCAAAUGAAAGAGCAUGUUCAUUUUCAGUUUGUGUUUAGUGAAACAAAAACUGCAUCUGGGAUCAGUUUCAUCAUGUGCCCAAUGGAGGACUAAGUAUGAAGUAUACCACCUUCUUGGAAGAGAUUGUUUUUCCCUGAAAGUGCUAAAUUUUAGAUCUGAACUGCCAUAAAAAUUCUUCAUGAUUAUAUCCACAAAUCAGGAUAUACACAAAACUAUGGAUUUUUCCCCUAUGAAUGACAAGUAAUGGAAGAUAUGCUGUAAUUACAUAAAUUAACCCAUCUCUAGAGACUAAGGGAAAUUAAGAUCGAAGGAAGUAGGACAGAGGGCUUAAAAAUAAAACAAAAAAGACCUUAAAAUAGAAAAUAGUAUGCCAAAACUAGAGGUGAUUUUCUUUCUAAUGCUAGACCUUCCUUUGAUUCUUUUAAUUACAAUGAGACGGAAAUUUUAGGACACUAAGGGAGACAGAUUAUUCAAAGGCUUUUGCAUGCCCUUUAUUCUCUUUCAAAUACAAUACUCCCCAUAAUAGUGUAAUACUAUUAAUCAUACUGCUUUCAGCCCUCUACCUGAAGGUGACAGUCUUCAGCUGUUCCAGAAGGUCCUGGGUCCCAAAGUUCCUGUUACUCACUGCUGAUUGGGCACAGAUGAGAGUGCCUAGUUUUCAUUCAGCAGCCUGUUGUGGGUACAGGGUUAUGGCUGCAAUGAAGCAGGGCCUUUCUGAUCCUUUUUAUUACUCUUCUUUCAUGGGGGAGGAGAGAGAUAAAGUGCCUACAGUAAAAUGCAGUUGCAAUACAUUCACUCUCACAACUCAUUUUUCAAACCCCAGGGAAGACUUCCCUACAUCUCUUGACCUAAGUCCUUGAAACAAAAUGCAGCUGCAUCCUUAUGCUGUGAAAUUUGUGUGUGGUGGUGGUGUUCACAUCGGAGAAGGACACUGCUUCAAAGCAUGGGGAGAAUGUGAGCAGAGCAAACACUUAAGUGGGAGAAAGGCAGAUUGACUUUCCAAAUUCUUCCAAUCGGAAGGCAUGAAUGCUGAUCCCCACAGUGCCUAGUGUCAUUUUCUUGUUUCACUUGGUGUCCAGCAUGAGAUUUUGGAAGUACUUAUGUGUUAGUAAGGUAUUCUCAAUGGUUGCACAUGGUUGGUGAGAAAUAUUUUGCAAUGGUGAGCAAUUUAUUUUUCAAUGUGUGUCUAUUUAGGUAUGUAUGAAUGUAGGUAUUACAUUUAUCUGCAUGUAUGUAUUCUUAAAUUUUUAUUAAAAAUUAAACAAUCUUAAAUGUAAUAUGUUUUAAGCAUAACACAUUGGCAGCUAGCACAUUAGCAUUGAAUAUUAGAAUUAUAGAUGCUUUUAUUUUCUAAAGUAUUUAUUUUAUUAAAAACUCUUUUUUUUUUUUUUUUUUAAAGAAAUGGGGGUCACUUUAUGUUGCCCAGGCUGGACUUGAACUCUUGGGCUAAAGCAAUCCUCUUGCCUCAGUCUUCCAAGUAGUUCUGGGAUUACAGGCACUGCUAUUUUUCUAAGUAUUUAAUAAUAUUAAUUAAAUUUUCAAAAAGUUAGGCAAAAAAUUAAUUUUAAAUAACUGUGAUUUAAAAAUCGAUUCUGUUAAUAUGUGUACCUUUUAAUUUUAAGAAAUAGUUUUGAAUAUUUUAAGAGAGAAAUAAACUAUUUGAAAAUAUGAGCCAAAUGGUUAAUAUUGAGUGUCAACUUGGUUGGAUUGAAGGAUGCAAAGUAUUGUUCCUGGGUGUGUCUGUGAGGGUGUUGCCAAAGGAGAUUAACAUUUGAGUCAGUGGACUGGGAGAGGCAGACCCACCCUCAAUCUGAGUGGGCACCAUCUAAUCAGCUGCCAGCGGGCUAUAAUAAAGCAGGCAGAAGAAGUUGGAAGGACUAGACUUGCUGAGUCUUUUGGCCUUCAUCUUUCUCCCAUGCUGGAUGCUUCCUGCCCUCAAAUGUCAGGCUCCAAGUUCUUCAGGUUUUGGACUCUUGGACUUACACUAGUGAUCUGCCUGGGACUCUGAGGCCUUCGGCCACAGACAGAAAGUUGCACUGUCUGUUUCCCUACUUUUGGGAUUUUGGGACUGCCUUCCUUGCUCCUCAGCUUGCAGAUGGUCUGUAGUGGGACUUUACCUUCUGAUCGUGUGAGUCAAUACUCUUUCAUAAACUCUCCUUCAUGUAUACACUUAUCCUAUUAGUCCUGUCCCUCUAGAGAAGCCUAAUACAAUGAGGAAUAAUUUAAUUUUUCAGUUUUUUAGCACUUAAUUUAUAUUUUUGGUGCAAAUAUAUCCACAUUUGAACACUUUGAAGACAAUUACAUUUACUUUUUAAUUCUUUAAAUAAUUGAGGGUGAAUACAAGUCAAAAUUGUGAUAAAAAUAGAUUGAGUAGAAAUAGCAAUCAUUUGGUUAUGCAUGCCUGUAGUUUCAGCUACUCAGGAGGCUGAGGCAAGAGGAUCCCUUCAGCCCAGGAGUUCAAGGCUGUAGUGCACUAUGAUCAUGCCUGUGAAUAGUCACUGCACUCCAGCCUAGACAAUCUAGCGAGACACCAACUCUUAAAAAAAAAAGACAAAAUUGACUAUCACUUUUUAAGCACUUCUCUCAGAAAUGAAGCUCAGGAAAGAAGAAAAUUGGGGAAAAAGCUGGGGUUGGGGGGAAUAGAAAGACUUGCUUCCGACAAACAGAAUAAGGCAAAAUGAGAGUGUUAUGUCUUCUGAGGACCAGGUUGCAAAGAUAGUGUGACUUCUUUCUUUUGGAUCUCUUGCUCUGUGGGAAACUAGCUGCCAUGCUUUGAGGACACUCAAGCAAUUCAAUGGAGAGAACAUACAGCAAAGAACUGAAGCCUCUUGCCCACAGCUACAUGGGUCAGCCAUUUCAGAAAUGAGUCCUGUGGCCUCAUUUCAGCCUGGAGGAGACUGUAGCCGCAGUUGACAUGUGAACCUUCUGAGAGACUGAGCCACGAUGACCCAGUUUAGCUGCUUCCAAAUUCCUGACCUACAGGAAUUAACAACAAAUAUAUAUUGUUUUAAGCUGCUAUAUUUUUGAAAAUUUUGGUUAUGUGGGAAUAGGUAAUUAAUACAACCUGUUUUAAUCUAUUCUCAUAACAGCAACCAAACCAUGUUUUAAAAAUAUGUCAGAUCAUUUUGUCCAGUUUUUUUCAUCAAAGAGAAAAAGUCAGAUCAUGGACUUCUCACAACUGUCCUAUGGCUGUCCAUUUCCCUCAGAGCAAAAUCCAAAGUCUUUAAUGGCCUUCAAGAUCUGGCCCCUUCUCUCACUGUUCCCUCACUGACCUCAGCUCCUCCUUUCUCUCUCACUCAGCUUCAGCCACCCUCUUCUCUUUGAUCUUCCUCAAACAUCCCAGGAAUGCUCCCACUUUAGAACUGUUGUACUUGUGGUUCCUGCCAACCAAAAUCCCAGAUAGCCACACAGCUAACUUCCUCAUUUCUUUCAAAUCAGCUUAAAUGUUACUGUUCCAAUGAUGUAUAUACUCUGAUCACUCUAUUAUAUUUAAAAUCGCACUGCUAUCUCUUGCUUUGGGACCCCUCAUGCCAUUUGUCAUGCUUUAAUUCACACUAACAUAUAAUUUCCUUUUUAAUGUUUAUAUUAUAUAAUGCUUAUUUUUUACUGUUUUCUUCUCCCAAAUCGCAGGAAUUUUUGUUACUUUGUUUAUUGAUAUAAACAAAAACUUGCCUAAAAUCGUGCAUGGCAGAUAGUAGGUGCUCAAUAUAUGUUUGUUGACUGAUUUCCUCAUUCCCAGCACCUCACUUUCAAAGCACAUCCCUCAAUAGCAGGCACUCAUUCAGUUUAAGGCACUGAAUCCUAAGGCUUGUAUGAUCCAUCUGAGGCUUUUGAAGAAUAUAUGCAAACACCAUAAAUAUGGCCAUCAUUCAUUCAUUCACUCAAUAAAUAUUUUUUCUUGAAUGCUUUUUAGAUUACAGGCAUUUUGCUUGGUACUGAGGAUACAAACAUAAAUAAAACACAGUUAUGAUCUAAAGAAAGUUAUAGUUUAAUAGGAAGAAAAAGCAAACAGUUCAUUACAGGAAAUGGGAAAGGGUGGUAAGUUAAAGAUGCUUUGGGGAUACCUAAGUAGAGAUAUAUUUGUCUAUAGAGUUUAUGGGAGAGGUUUGGGCAAGACGUAUAUUUGGUUGUCAUUGUCAUAUAGGAAGUGAAUGAAGUCACUCAGGAAGAAUAUACACAAUGGAAAUAGGAGGUCCAGAAUCAAAUUUUGAGAAAUAUUUGCAGUGAGAAGGAGAGGAUGUAGUUACAGAGGCAGUUAAAAGUAUUUUUGUUCUUUUCCUUUUGGGCAUGGGAUAGGAUUGCAUUUCUCUGGUCACCGUGAAGUUAUAACCACAUUGCUAGCUUUGGCCAAUGGAAUGUUACCAGAAAUGAUGUGUGUAACUUCUCGGCACAGGCAAUACACCAGUCAGCCGGUUCCCUUCUCCUUGGCUUGAUGAUUUGAAAUGCAUUUGUCAGAGGCAUUGGAACCAGAGCAACUCCAUCUUGAAUGGGGACUGGAUAAAAUGAGGCUGAGACCUACUGGGCUGCAUUCCCAGAUGGUUAGGGCAUUCUAAGUCACAGGAUGAGAUAGGAGGUCGGCACAAGAUACUGAUCAUAAAGACCUUGCUGAUAAAACAGUUUGCAGUAAAGAAGCCAGCCAAAACCCACCAAAACCAAGAUGGUGAUGAGAGUGACCUCUGGUCAUCCUCACUGCUACUUCCCAUCAGCGCCAUGACAGUUCAAAUGCCAUGGCAAUGUCAGGAAGUUACCCCAUAUGGUCUAAAAAGAAGAGGCAUGAAUAAUCCACCCCUUAUUUGGCAUAUCAUCAAGAAAUAACUAUAAAAACGGGUAACCAGUAGCCCUCAGGGUUGUUUUAUGGAGUAGCUAUUCUUUAUUCCUUUACUUUCUUAAUAAGCUUGCUUUCACUUUAUGGACUUGCUCUGAAUUCUUUCUUGCACGAGAUUUAAGAACCCUCUCUUGAGGUCUGGAUCGGGACCCCAUUCUGUAACAUGUUGACAUGGAGCCUCUGUCAACCUGUUUUCCUUAGUGAUUAUCAAUAGUGAAACUCCUCAAGACCUGUCUUGGUCUUGUAGUGUGGGUGAGACAUACACUUUUGUUGGGUUAGGCCACUGACCUAUUUGUUACCACACCAUAACCAAGUCUAUCCUAAGGAUUCAAGGAGAGUCUUAGGAAAAGAAGACUUUAUUUUUUAUUUUAUUUUAUUUUUUUUUGAAACAAGAAGGGGACUCUUGUUUUAUUUAGAAGUAAUUUUAGAUUUUUGAAAAGUUGCAAAAACAGCACAGUAGUUUCCAAUAUAUACCCCUCACCCAGCUUCCACAAAACCACGGGCCGAUGAUUAAAACCUGGAAAUUAACAAUGAUCCUGUCCUAUUAAUAGACUGCACUAAAAUCUCACCAGUUGCUCCACUCGUGUUUUUUCCUUGUCUAGAUCUUACUCACAUUUAGGUGUCAUGUCUUGUUUGUCUUCCCCAGUCUGGGAUGGUCCCCAGUCUUUUUCUGUCUGUCAUUACUGUGAUGCUUUGGAAGAACUCAGGCCAGUGGCUUUGUGGCACAUCUCUCCUUUUGGGUUUCCCUGAUGGUUUCUCAGGAUUAGUUGGAGGUUCUGCAUUCUUGGCAGGACCCCCAUGGAGUGAUGCUGUGUCCUGAGUAUUUCAUCAUGUGGAUGUGUCCUCAUACAGGUGACAUUAACUCUGAUCGCUUGGUUAAGGUGCUGUCUGCCAGGUUUCUGCACUGGAAAGGUACUAUUUUUUUUUUUUUUUUUGGUCAAAGGAGCAGGGUAUAAAAGGCAGGGCAUGAAAUCUGAGAGCAGGCAUGCAUCAGGAAUUAGGAACCAGGAACUGGGAGCUGAGGCUGCUGCUCUCUGAGGAAAAGGAGACUUUCAAGAAGAUUUAAAAAGAAUGGAGAAAGAAGAUUCAAGAAGAUGAAGAUGUCAAAUGCCUCAUUGCAAAAUAUAGAUUGGAAAGUGUUCCUUUAAUUUGGCAUUUUGUGGGUCAUUUGUGAUUUUGGUAAAUUAUGCAAUGUGAAAAAAUAGACAGUUUCUUUCAAAUGGCAAGCAAUUAAAGAAAAAAAAGUCAUAAGUGUGGGCUGUAGCAACAGUGAGGCUCUUAUUGUUGUCAUUGUCUGACAGAAAUCUGAACUCUGAUCCCACAAAUUUCUCUGCUCCCUUUUCCCUGCUCACUUUGAACUGAAGAACCUCUUUACUCCUUCCUUCCUUUCCCUCCCUCUUAUCUCCUUGCCUCCCUGUAGAUUCCAUCACAGCUUCCUCCAUCCUUUUUUUUCAAUUAUACUUUAAGUUCUAGGGUACAUGUGCACAACUUGCAGGUUUGUUACAUAUGUAUACAUGUGCCAUGUUGGUGUGCUGCACCCAUUAACUCGUCAUUUACAUUAGGUAUAUCUCCUAAUGCUAUCCCUCCCUCCACCGCACAACAGGCCCCAGUGUUUGAUGUUCCCCUUCCUGUGUCCAUGUGUUCUCAUUGUUCAAUUCCCACCUAUGAGUGAGAACAUGCGGUGCUUGGUUUUUUGUCCUUGCGAUAGUUUGCUGAGAAUGAUGGUUUCCAGCUUCAUCCAUGUCCCUACAAAGGACGUGAACUCAUCCUUUUUUAUGGCUGCAUAGUAUUCCAUGGUGUAUAUGUGCCACAUUUUCUUAAUCCAGUCUAUCAUUGAUGGACAUUUGGGUUGGUUCCAAGUCUUUGCUAUUGUGAAUAGUGCAGCAAUAGACAUACGCAUGUGCCUUUAUGGCAGCAUGAUUUAUAAUCCUUUGGGUAUAUGCGCAGUAAUGGGAUGGCUGGGUCAAAUGGUAUUUCUAGUUCUAGAUCCUUGAGGAAUUGCCACACUGACUUCCACAAUGGUUGAACUAGUUUACAGUCCCACCAACAGUGUAAAAGUGUUCCUAUUUCUCCACAUCCUCUCCAGCACCUAUUGUUUCCUGACUUUUUUUUUUUUUUUUUUUUUUUUUGAGACGGAGUCUCGCUCUGUCGCCCAGGCUGGAGUACAGUGGCGGGAUCUCGGCUCACUGCAAGCUCCGCCUCCCGGGUUCACGCCAUUCUCCUGCCUCAGCCUCCCAAGUAGCUGGGACUACAGGCGCCCGCCACUACGCCCGGCUAAUUUUUUUGUAUUUUUAGUAGAGACGGGGUUUCACCGUUUUAGCCGGGAUGGUCUCGAUCUCCUGACCUCGUGAUCCGCCCGCCUCGGCCUCCCAAAGUGCUGGGAUUACAGGCGUGAGCCACCGCGCCCGGCCCCUGACUUUUUAAUGAUCGCCAUUCUAACUGGCAUGAGAUGGUAUCUCAUUGGGGAACAUCUUAAAAGAAAAGCAUAUAAUUGCCAUUUGCACUUCCUCACCUCUUUAUCCACUCUUCAGCCUACUGCAAAUUGACUUUUGACCUCUUUAAUCUACUGAAAUGGCUCAUGCAAAGAGACUUUUUAUAAAAAUCACAUAUAAUUUAGAUUUUUUAUUUUCUGCAUAAAUCUCUUUAAUUUUAUGUGAUAAUACAGUGCAUGAUUAUUUGUUGAGCCGUUAAUUUUGUAUUAGCCAAAGAGAAAGUUGAACCUGUCAGUUAAACUGGGUGGAAUAAGAAAUAAUAUUUUAAAAUUAGCAGUAAAUAGAAACUUGCACAAUAAAAAUAUUUUUGUGUCACUUGAAAUAUUACCAUUGGUUGCAAGUUUUAAAGAUGUAAAAGGUGUCUUCUUUCACGUUCACUUUUUUUUUCAGUAGAGAUACUGACUGCAGGCAGCUUGCCUCUUUUGUUUUUUUGGCUUAUAGUCACAGUAUUUGAGCACAAAUUUAAUGAAGCAUUGUUUAAUUGAGACUUCCCUGUAGUGACACAACAAUAUUGCAAAUUUUUUUCAUAGGCAUUUCCUCACUUAAUUCUCAAACAAGUUUUGUCUUUUUUUUUUCAUCACGAUAUCUGUAGACAGGAUCAAACAACUUUUGAAGGGUAUUUGAUUUCCCCCUAUUUACAGAUUUAAGAAACUGAAACUCAAAAGAGACAAAUUGCCACAUUCAUCCUGCCACAGGGUGUGUGUGUGUGUGUGUGUGUGUGUGUGUGUGUGUGUGUGUGUGUGUGUGUUUUCUGACUCUAAACGUAGAGCAGUUUCUACUAUGCCCCAGCCACUUGGAUGUAGUAUGUGUACAAAAGUGACAACACGAUAUAGUGAUUCUUCAAAGUAGGUUUAUUGUUCUAAUUGACAUUUUUCUUCAAACAUUAUAGGAUUAUACAUUUCCAACAAUUUUAAGCAAUUUUGAUGCUUAUCAAAAUGUUGUAUAUUUAAUAAGUUUUUGCAUUAAAUGAGUUUAGGUUGGCAAUAAGGAACCACCAUAUACUUUAAUAGAUACUAUUUCAUACCACAGUUGUGUUGUCUUUAAUACAGAGAUGAGUGUUUAAUACUCUUUUGCAAUGGGAAGAAGUUAAAGGAGUUUGAGUUAAAAUAGUGAGAGAAAUAAUUGAAUAUGAUUGUUACCUUAAAUAUAGCCACAGUCUGUUGAUUUAAGCUUCAGUUAGUCCUAACAUAUUCAACAUAUUCAUAACAAAAUUUUUUGGGCAUCUCUGGCUCAUUUAUUAAUACCUAUGAACCUGCAAAACACUGCUGUAUUUGUAAGACUGAUAUGUAUGGGAUAAUGUAUGCGAUAAGCAAAAAUCUUAGUUUUCUAGCUAGCUUUUGAAAUGAAAGUAAUGGAAACAUGACUACUCAGAUUUAAAAAAACCAGGCUUUACCUUUCGUAGUUCAAUUUAUAUUAGUACAAAUUCUUCUCAAAGGUGGUCUCCUUGAGAAGGUGCACAGGCUACUGGAAAUAGUGAAGACAGUAAUAAGAAGAAGAUUAACUGGCUUACUUACCAAGAAAAUGAAUUCAGGAAAUUUGAUUCUCGUAGAGAUCUAGAACAAGCAAACAGGAUGAACAACCACUUAUUUUGGAAUAGUGUAUUUAAAUUUGAGAAAGAGUGAUCUUUUCUUUCUCCGAAGGGUUAAGAAUGUGAUCAAAAGCCUGGAGCUGAAAGAAGGAUAAUAUGUAUGGGAGACAGUGAGGACACUUGCCUGACCAGAGCAGGUGAACACCUAUGUACAAUAAAGCUAGAUUGUAGUGGCUGCAGUGGGUGUUGAAAUACAUGUUGAAUGCAACAAAGAGGUAUUAAAAUUUCUUGAAUGUUAAUAGAUUGGCCUAAUCCUGGGUUUUAGGCAGAGCAUCCUACAACCUUAACAAAUGGUGAAUUUGGAAGCAACUAGACUCAGGGAGAUCAGCUAUACUGUUUUGUAGAAUUUUGAAUUUCAUAAGCCAAUAAAGCUCCUAGAAAAUUCUUAAGGACUAACAUAUGGUUAUCAAUUAUUUAUCUUGAAGGAAAGAAUAUUUUAAAAACCCCAACAACAAAAUAUAAACAGUAAAUUACCACAUACUAUCUUCACUGUUUCAUACAGGAAUGAAAUUUUAACAUCAAAUCAGCAGGAAGGACAUACUCCCAGAGUAAAGGACACAACACUAAGAUGAAUAAACUUGAUGUUCUUAGAGACCUACCACAUUGCCUCUGUUUUCUCACUUUCUCCUCUACCUGUAACUCUGUGAUAUAGCUGCACAGAUACUCAGAAUGAUAGCUGAGAUCCACUGAGCUAAGAGAAUACCGUAAUUACUCAGGCAUAACAUAAUGAAAACCUGGGAAAGAAGAAGAAAGAAUAAGAGAAGGAAGGGAGAGGAUGGAAGAAUGAUAGCCCAUGGCAACAGAUUGAAUAUAGAAAGUAAAAGAAGAAAGUGAAAGCUACCUGCAAAAAUUAUACUAUGAUCUCAUGUCGUUUUUUGUUUGUUUGUUUUGUUUUGUUUUGUUUUUUGAGACGGAGUCUCGCUCUGUCUCUCAGGCUGGAGUGCAGUGGCGUAAUCUCGGCUCACUUCAAGCUCCACCUCCCAGGUUCAUGCCAUUCUCCUGCCUCAGCCUCCCGAGUAGCUGGGACUACAGGCGCCCGCCACCACGCCUGGCUAAUUUUUUGUAUUUUUAGUAGAGAUGGGUUUUCACUGUGUCAGCCAGGAUGCUUGUAUUGUUUUUAAUAGUCAGUAUUGCACGUAACACUGCCCUAAUUCAUCUCUUAACAGAGUCUGUGGGUUGUCAUAUCAAUUGAUUGAUGUCUUGCUGUCUUCUUUUUCAGGACCAGAAACCAGAAAUGCAAUUUGCCAAGCAUAUGAAGAAUAUGUUUUUACUGGUUUUUGAUAACUUAAAAUACUUCUUCAUCUAAAACCAGGCUGAUCUUGAGAAAGAUUUUAAAGGAGAUUAGAAAAUUCACUUUAACAAACCACUAUCAUAUAGUCACAUCAAUCUUUCGUAGAUAUUUUUGCAAACAAUUACCAGAAUUCUUAGAGUUUAUUACAGAUAUUUUGUUCUUGACCUUUGACACUUGCCAUUUAGCAAUUGCAUGGUUUUACUUUUGUGGUUGUAGAGUUUCUGUUUUUCUUUCAUUAGAAUGAUGUAAGUAGAGGAAUAGAAACUGUUAUAUUUGCAAAAAAAGAGCAAAGAUGCUUUGUGACCUUGGGAAUUAUAUUUGAAGGUUACUCACAAGAGAAUACCUUGUUUAGGAAAGAUGGUUAAUUUUUUUCUUGCAAGCAGACUUUUUUACAAAAUUAGUUAAUGGCAAAUGUGUUCUUUGCUGAAUAUUAAUCUAUAGUAUCAUUUAAGAUGUUCUUAAUUUAUGUUUCUGGACUUUGUUUAAAUGUCAAACUCUAGAAAGGGUAAACUAGCUCACCCCACUGCUAGGUAAUAGCUAGUAUUGUCUUCGCUGCAGGGCAUUUUACAGUAAAAUUUUGAAGUAUAUUGAAAAAAGUUACCAGUUCACUUACUAUACAAUAGCUUGGAAUGUGAAUGUCUGAAAGAAGAAAAAUUCAAUAAAUGACUAUGUAGUUAUUUGGUGGAAUUCACAACAUAAUAACAAGAAAAGGUUUUCAGCUUUGAUCAUAAUGGAAAUGAGUCAUUUAAUUUUACCCUCAGUCCUGGUACACAGUUUCAGCACCUGCUAAGAAGUCGGCUUGCAUUUAAAUGACUUAGGCAAUUAUUAAAAGCAAGUUUCAAGAAAUAAAUGGCAUUUAUAUAAAAAGGAGACUGGGCUCAAACUGCUAGUGCUUUAAAUUUCCAUAAAAGCAAAUUCAAGUUCAGAACAGGAUUCAGGAUUUAGUAACAAUUCAAAGGUUUUCAAUCCCUUAAUCUCUUUGUGAUAACUAUAUUCAUCAUGUAGCCAUUUUUAAAAGGAAGAGAAUAAAAAUGUUAACAUUGAUGUCUACCAGCACUUGUGACUGAAAAAUUGAUUAUAUAUGGUAAAUACUUAUGGCUCCAAAUAGCUAUUUGAUUUAUAAUUUUGGUAUUGAAAUGUAAUGAAAUACUUCUAUUGUAUUUGCAAUCGCUGGAAGAGUAGUAUGAAUCAUACUUCAAAUAAAAAUGCUUCUUUUUAUCAUUUUUCCCAAA